AGAGUUUGAUCCUGGCUCAGGACGAACGCUGGCGGCGUGCUUAACACAUGCAAGUCGAGCGAUGAGAUCACUUCGGUGAUGGAUUAGCGGCGAACGGGUGAGGAACACGUGAAGAAUCUGCCUUCAACUCUGGGAUAACUCCGGGAAACCGGGGCUAAUACCGGAUAUGAGCCUUGAUCGCAUGAUCGGGGCUGGAAAGUUUUUCGGUUGAAGAUGACUUCGCGGCCUAUCAGCUUGUUGGUGAGGUAAUGGCUCACCAAGGCGACGACGGGUAGCCGGCCUGAGAGGGCGACCGGCCACACUGGGACUGAGACACGGCCCAGACUCCUACGGGAGGCAGCAGUGGGGAAUAUUGGGCAAUGGAGGAAACUCUGACCCAGCGACGCCGCGUGCGGGAUGAAGGCCUUCGGGUUGUAAACCGCUUUCAGCAGGGAAUAAGCGCAAGUGAAGGUACCUGCAGAAGAAGCACCGGCUAACUAUGUGCCAGCAGCCGCGGUAAUACAUAGGGUGCAAGCGUUGUCCGGAAUUAUUGGGCGUAAAGAGCUCGUAGGUGGUUUGUUACGUCGGUUGUGAAAUUCAGGGGCUCAACCCCUGACUUGCAGCCGAUACGGGCAAGCUAGAGUUUGGUAGGGGAGACUGGAAUUCCUGGUGUAGCGGUGGAAUGCGCAGAUAUCAGGAGGAACACCGAUGGCGAAGGCAGGUCUCUGGGCCAAUACUGACACUGAGGAGCGAAAGCGUGGGGAGCGAACAGGAUUAGAUACCCUGGUAGUCCACGCCGUAAACGGUGGGCGCUAGUUGUGCGAACCUUCCACGGGUUUGUGCGACGCAGCUAACGCAUUAAGCGCCCGCCUGGGGGAGUACGAUCGCAGAUAAACUCAAAGGAAUGACGGGGCCCGCACAGCAGCGGAGCAUGCG
rnacentral:rRNA from 1 species